rnacentral:rRNA from 1 species
UCGAGUUGAUCCUGCUCGAGAGUACCGCUAUUGGGAUUUGAUUAAGCCAUGCUCGUCUUAGGGCCAUGCAAUUGGCCCUGGCACACAGCUCAGUAACACGUGGAUAAUCUAACCUAAGGAGGGGAAUAACCUCGGGAAACUGAGGAUAAUACCCCAUAGGAAAGGAGUACUGGAAUGUCCCUUACUCAAACGACCUUGACUUUUUGCUGACUUGGUUACCUUAGGGUGAGUCUGCGGCGGAUUAGGUUGACGGCGGGGUAAUGGCCCACCGUGCCUACGAUCUGUACCGGCUAUGAGAGUAGGAGCCGGGAGUUGGAUACUGAGACAAAGAUCCAGGUCCUACGGGAUGCAGCAGGCGCGAAAUCUCCGCAAUGCGCGAAAGCGUGACGGGGGAAUCCCAAGUGCUUCCCUACAAGGGUGGCUUUUCUUGAGUUUAAAAAUCUUAAGGAAUAAAGGCUGGGUAAGACCGGUGCCAGCCUCCGCGGUAACACCGGCAGCCUGAGUGGUACUCACGUUUAUUGGGCUUAGAGCGUCCGUAGUCGGUUUAGUAAGUCCCCUGUGAAAUCCACCCGCUUAACGGGUGGGCUGGCAAGGGAUACUGCUUGACUAGGGGCCGGGAAGGGCCAGGGGUAUUCUUGGGGUAGCGGUGAAAUGUUAUAAUCCCAGGAAGACCAUCUGUGGCGAAGGCGCCUGGCUGGAACGGGCCCGACGAUGAGGGACGAAAGCUAGGGGAGCGAACCGGAUUAGAUACCCGGGUAGUCCUAGCCGUAAACGAUGCGGGCUGAGUAUCGCUGAAACCUCGUGUUUCAGCGGUGCUGAAGGGAAACCGUUAAGCCCGCCGCCUGGGGAGUACGGUCGCAAGGCUGAAACUUAAAGGAAUUGGCGGGGGAGCACCACAAGGCGUGGAGUCUGCGGUUUAAUUGGAUAAAACGCCGGGCAACUCACCAGGGACGACGGCAGUAUGAAGGUCAGGCUGAAGGUCUUACCGGACGAGCCGAGAGGUAGUGCAUGGCCGUCGUCAGCUCGUACCGUGAGGCGUGCGGUUAAGUCCGUUAACGAGCGAGACCCAUGCCCUUAUUUGCUAGCUUCUCUCUUCGGAGGGGAGUGGACUAUAGGGGGACCGCUGGCGAUGAGUCAGAGGAAGGUGCGGGCAACGGUAGGUCUGUAUGCUCCGAAUUUCCUGGGCUACACGUGGACUACAUUGGCACGAACAACGGGUUGCGACACCGAGAGGUGAAAGCUAAUCCCUUAAAUCGUGUCUAGGUUCGGAUCGAGGGUUGUAACUCACCCUCGUGAAGCUGAAAUGCCUAGUAAUCGCUGGUCACCAUCCAGCGGUGAAUAUGUCCCCGCUCCUUGCACACACCGCCCGUCAAACCAACCGAGUGGAUUGGGGGCGAGGUACCUUCCAUUGGGAGGUCUCGAGUCUCUGGUUCGCGAGGGGGGUUAAGUCGUAACAAGGUA